CUGGCUCAGGACGAACGCUGGGGGCGUGCCUAACACAUGCAAGUCGAACGGAGAUACGCGCUGAAUGGAUGGAGCUUGCUUUUGAAAUUCUUGUGUAUCUUAGUGGCGGACGGGUGAGUAACGCGUGAGCAACCUGCCUUUCAGAGGGGGAUAACGUUUGGAAACGAACGCUAAUACCGCAUGAGACCACGGUACUGCAUAGUACAGUGGCCAAAGGAGCAAUCCGCUGAAAGAUGGGCUCGCGUCCGAUUAGAUAGUUGGCGGGGUAACGGCCCACCAAGUCGACGAUCGGUAGCCGGACUGAGAGGUUGAACGGCCACAUUGGGACUGAGACACGGCCCAGACUCCUACGGGAGGCAGCAGUGAGGGAUAUUGGUCAAUGGGGGAAACCCUGAACCAGCAACGCCGCGUGAGGGAAGACGGUUUUCGGAUUGUAAACCUCUGUCCUCUGUGAAGAUAAUGACGGUAGCAGAGGAGGAAGCUCCGGCUAACUACGUGCCAGCAGCCGCGGUAAUACGUAGGGAGCGAG
rnacentral:rRNA from 1 species